rnacentral:rRNA from 1 species
CUCUACAACCCUUUGUGAACAUACCUAUAACUGUUGCUUCGGCGGGCAGGGUCUCCGUGACCCUCCCGGCCUCCCGCCCCCGGGCGGGUCGGCGCCCGCCGGAGGAUAACCAAACUCUGAUUUAACGACGUUUCUUCUGAGUGGUACAAGCAAAUAAUCAAAACUUUUAACAACGGAUCUCUUGGUUCUGGCAUCGAUGAAGAACGCAGCGAAAUGCGAUAAGUAAUGUGAAUUGCAGAAUUCAGUGAAUCAUCGAAUCUUUGAACGCACAUUGCGCCCGCCAGCAUUCUGGCGGGCAUGCCUGUUCGAGCGUCAUUUCAACCCUCAAGCUCUGCUUGGUGUUGGGGCCCUACAGCUGAUGUAGGCCCUCAAAGGUAGUGGCGGACCCUCCCGGAGCCUCCUUUGCGUAGUAACUUUACGUCUCGCACUGGGAUCCGGAGGGACUCUUGCCGUAAAACCCCCAAUUUUCCAAAGGUUGACCUCGGAUCAGGUAGGAAUACCCGCUGAACUUAAGCAUAUCAAUAAGCGGAGGAA